GGAAGAACUAUUAAGAAUAAGUC
rnacentral:piRNA from 1 species